CCCGCCCAGGGCAUUGCAGGUGCGGCUGCUGUGUCACAUGUGCGUCAGUAGGUGGCAGAGAGCAGAGAGGCUAUGGCUAUGCCCGGUGUUCUGACCUGUGAACAUCUGAAUAAUUAAUUAGUAGCCUAACAUU